rnacentral:lncRNA from 1 species
GCUGUAUCUCUUCCUGGAAUACCCCGCCCCUAUACCAUUGGUGGAACUCCCCCACUCCCUCUUACUGUGUGUAUAACUACCCUGAGCUUGCCUUCAAUAAACGAGACUUGGUCAGAAAGCCUGCCUUGUCUCCAUUUCCUGUGUCCCCUGCUCCCCUCCUUCUUUUACAGGUCCGGACCUCCGUUGAUGUCCCGCGGGACGGGACAGUUUUCCAAAAGGAUCCAGCCCUUAGGCAGUUCAUCAGGAUAUGAAGUUAGGUUGAUAUGAGCCUGCUUAUCUGCUAAAUAAAUUGGAACAGUAUCAAACCUGCAGACAGAGGAUUCCCAGCACCCCAUACCGAAACAUUGGGAGGACUUGUAAGGAACAGUUAGUAGCCCCAUGUGGGGAAUAUGCCUCCCCCCUGAGAUAGACCAAGUGCUGAAAUAUCCGGAGAAUUUCAUGGAACAGGGGCCAGGAGUGAUCCGGACCUGCAGUAACCCCACAGGGAAGACCUUUAUCCAAUCCUCACGUGUCUCUUGACAUAACUUAGUCCACACACGUUUAAGAGUGUGAUUCCUCUUCUCUACCUCACCAGAAGACUCAUAUGGGAAUUGGCCACCCAACCAACCUUUGAGCAGUCUCUUUUACAGUGCCCCUCCUGCCAGCAAGUGGAACAUAAUGUGGGGGACCUCUUCCAACAUUCAAGAUACCAGUACCCCUUCUUAUGGCACUUGAAACACGAAUUAUUCCUGAGAUUAUCAUGAGUGGGUCCUCUCUGAGUGGAUGAAAUAAAGGCAGUCAAGAGCUGAGCCUGUUCCCUGUU